UACGGGGGGGGCAAGCGUUGUUCGGAAUUACUGGGCGUAAAGGGCGCGUAGGCGGCCUUCUAAGUCGGACGUGAAAUCCCUCGGCUCAACCGAGGAACUGCGUCCGAUACUGAAAGGCUUGAAUCCGGGAGAGGGAUGUGGAAUUCCAGGUGUAGCGGUGAAAUGCGUAGAUAUCUGGAGGAACACCGGUGGCGAAGGCGGCAUCCUGGACCGGCAUUGACGCUGAGGCGCGAAAGCUAGGGGAGCAAACGGGG
rnacentral:rRNA from 1 species